rnacentral:snRNA from 1 species
AGCUUUGCGCAGUGGCAGUAUCGUAGCCAAUGAGGUUUAUCCGAGGCGAGAUUAUUGCUAAUUGAAAACUAAACAUAAACAGUGUAGACAGGACUUGGAGAGGUCUGAAUCUACCAUGAAGACAGAACUUGGU